AUCCAGCCGACGAGUCCCAAAUAGGACGAAAUGCGCGUCCUGGAU
rnacentral:hammerhead_ribozyme from 1 species